UACGAAGGGGGCGAGGCGUUGUUCGGAAUUACUGGGCGUAAAGGGCUCGUAGGCGGCCAACUAAGUCACACGUGAAAUCCCCAGCUUAACCUGGGAACUGCGUGUGAUACUGGAUGGCUUGAAUCCGGGAGAGGGAUGCAGAAUCCAGUGUAGCGGUGAAAUGCGUAGAUAUCUGGAGGAAUACCGGUGGCGAAGGCGGCAUUCUGGAUCCGGCAUGACGCUGAUGAGCGAA
rnacentral:rRNA from 1 species